rnacentral:rRNA from 1 species
GUUAAGAGCAGGCGAACGGGCGCGGUAAUAGGUGGGGUGGAUGGGUUAAUCGGAAUUGCGUGGCGUAAAGCGGGCGCAGGUGGUUGUGCAAGGCAGAGGUGAAAUCCCCGGGCUUAACCUGGGAAUGGCCGUUGUGACUGCACGGCUAGAGUGUGUCAGAGGGGGGUAGAAUUCCACGUGUAGCAGUGAAAUGCGUAGAGAUGUGGAGGAAUACCGAUGGCGAAGGCAGCCCCCUGGGAUAACACUGACGCUCAUGCACGAAAGCGUGGGGAGCAAACAGGAUUAGAUACCCCAGUAGUC